UGCAAAUGAUGGUCAUUCUCACGAUGGUCUUCCGAAUCUCUCCGGGAUGCUGAAGACAACGCCUAAUGGCUUCACUGAUGCGCCUCU